CAACAGUCGGAGGUCCCGACCUUCACCGGGUCGUCCUCCCCCGAUUGUAUGUCGGUCGUCGGGCAUUCCGCGAUGAAGUCGGCAAGAACCUGGGCCUUUAAGGCAGGUCUCGGUCAGUACCGGAUGUCGAAUUUGCCCAGUCUCACAGCCCAUUUCACCAGCCGUCCCGACGUGUCAGGUCGGUGCAAGAUAGCCCUCAGGGGCUGGUCGGUGAGGACCACAAUGGCAUGUGCUUGGAAGUAUGGACGG
rnacentral:lncRNA from 1 species